rnacentral:rRNA from 1 species
AGGACGAACGCUGGCGGCGUGCUUAACACAUGCAAGUCGAGCGGAAAGGCCCUUCGGGGUACUCGAGCGGCGAACGGGUGAGUAACACGUGAGCAACCUGCCCUUAGCUCUGGGAUAGCUCCGGGAAACCGGAAUUAAUACCGGAUAUUACACCGGCUGGCAUCGGCUGGUGUGGAAAGAUUUAUCGGCUAAGGAUGGACUCGCGGCCUAUCAGCUUGUUGGUGGGGUAGAAGCCUACCAAGGCGACGACGGGGUA